GACACGACUCUCGGCAAUGGAUAUCUCGGCUCUCGCAUCGAUGAAGAGCGCAGCGAAAUGCGAUACUUGGUGUGAAUUGC
rnacentral:rRNA from 1 species